rnacentral:rRNA from 1 species
GACGAACCGUACGAACGUUAUUCGGAAUCACUGGGCUUAAAGGGCGCGUAGGCGGGCGGUCAAGUCUGUGGUGAAAUCCUCCGGCUCAACCGGAGAAUAGCUGGAGAUACUGAUCGUCUCGAGGGGGGUAGGGGCAUGUGGAACUUCCGGUGGAGCGGUGAAAUGCGUAGAUAUUCGGAAGAACACCAGUGGCGAAGGCAGCGAAUUGGCGCUUUAUUGACGCUCAGGCACGAAAGCAUGGGGAUCAAACAGG